rnacentral:rRNA from 1 species
AGCGAACGCUGGCGGUAUGCUUAACACAUGCAAGUCGAGCGGUAAGGCCCUUUCGGGGGUACACGAGCGGCGAACGGGUGAGUAACACGUGGGUGACCUGCCCUCAGCUCUGGGAUAAGCCUGGGAAACCGGGUCUAAUACCGGAUAUGACUCCAUGACGCAUGUUGUGGGGUGGAAAGCCUUGUGCGGCUGAGGAUGGGCCCGCGGCCUAUCAGCUUGUUGGUGGGGUGANGGCCUACCAAGGCGACGACGGGUAGCCGGCCUGAGAGGGCGACCGGCCACACUGGGACUGAGACACGGCCCAGACUCCUACGGGAGGCAGCAGUGGGGAAUCUUGCGCAAUGGGCGAAAGCCUGACGCAGCGACGCCGCGUGAGGGAUGACGGCCU